AUUCUUAGAGAAGUAUCAAUAUAGCAGAGAUAGAUGCGAAACCAAUCUCUCUAAUUGUUUAUUUCUACUUUUAGUUUUAUUAAUUAAUAAUUCAUUCUCUAUAAAUGUAUCGAUAUGUACUACACAUAAGCAAUCCAUCGUAACAAAAGUCUAUCUAAUUUUAUUAAGUUAAACCCAACCUUUUCAAUUUUAUUAGCCUAAUGGAUUACUAU
rnacentral:lncRNA from 1 species